ensembl:lncRNA
UAUCUCUUAAGUCUCCUGCAUUGAAGCUACUGAGCCUACACCGCAACUAACAAAGCCCACACACUGCUACUACUGAGCCUGCACGCUGCUGCUACUGAAACCCGUGUACCUAGAGUAUGCGCUCCACCAACAAGAGAGGACACUGCAGUGAGAAGCCCGCACACUGCAAUGAAGAGUAGCCCCACUCACUGCAACAGAGAAAACCCCCAGGCAGCAAGAAGAUCCUAGUGCAACCACAAGAAAAAAAUUAAGAAAAUUUUUAAAAGACUACCUGCAAGAUGAAUAUUUGAUGAACAAUGACUGAUCAUUCAAUGGCAUCUAUGGGACAACCAGAAAUACACUUUAAAUCCAAAGGGAACAUAUUCCAGGAUAUGUCACAUUCUGCCUCAGUAUCCCUCUUUCCUCCUGAUGCUGUCUCAGAUGGAGUUACAGUCAGGCAGUGUACUUCUCCUUUUUUGUCAUCUGUCCUGUAAGCCUCCUCCUGGGAACACAGAUAGCAGUCAACAUGCGGGGCUGAGAACGUCUGGCCACACACCCUAAGCCUCAGCAUGACUCAGCA